UCCCACCAGGCCCCUUGCCCCUACCUCUCACCCCAGUUCCCUGCUGCAGCAGCCAGCGGCUCCUAAUGAGAGAUCAGGGAUUCCACACUAAGGACGCUAACUCCACAGUCAACGGCACAUCCACUCUGCUAACUCUCAGGAAAAACAGUUUGGGAUUGCCCAGGGCAAACAAUAGACAUGAAAAUUGAUGAUCCGCAUCCCCAGGAGCUGCAUAAGGUUAAGUAAACAAAAAACAAAGGCAGGCUGCCUGUGGACAAUAAACUAGCGGGGAUACUGUCAUGUCAGGAUGGGAGUCUGGAGAUUGUGGCAGCCCUCCCAUGAUGAGCCAGAGGAGGAAGCCUCAUGUGGAAGAAGGCAGGACCCACAGCCAUAGUUGCACAGAUCUACUCAAGCCACACUGAUCACUGCCCUAAGCUCUGGAUUUGUUUGGUUACACCAAUUAAAAAAUGGAGACUCAGGAGUCCAAGUGACUUGCCUUUAAAAAGUCACCUUACUAUGCUGGUAGUGAAGCUUACUACACCGGGGGAAGCUGGUUUGAGACCAUGCCUUUCUGAUCCAGGUUUUGUCAUUGAUCUGCUCAAUCCCUCAAUGCCCACCAAUUCCCACUGGACAUCAAGAGUGAGUCACAAGGAGAUGUCUCUCAGAUGGGAACUGGCUGUCACAUAUGGUUAGUUUGAUUUGUUUCAGAUUUUUAAAAUUGGAGAAUUUCACAGAAUUCUAGAUUUUUUACUUCUGCUGAAAAGCAAAAAAUAUGGAAGCAAUGACAUUAUAUUCUUUUGUGGAGACAAUGGCCUGGAACAAAAUAGCAGCUUCCUUCUUUAAAUGAGGUAUGAGAUUUCUGGUCCCCACAGUUCAUACCAUUCCCUAUUGCCUUGCAACUGAAUCACUGCUCAUGGCUGUUCCUUGUCCAGCUCCUGGAUGCACUGGGUUUAUGAAUCCUGGCCUUGAAUCUCAAUGGUGUGUUUCACAUUAGCCAGACAAGAAUGCCUCACUAGAACGGAAGCUCCAUGAGGCAGGAAUUGUCAUCUGUUUUCUUGACUGUGUCUAACUGUGCCUUAGAGCAGUGUCUGGAGUGUACUGGACCUGCAAUACAGAUUUGUGAAUGAAUGAAUUAAAUCUUUGUGUGGUCUAGGUGUUUUGGGGCUGAUGGUCUGCUGAAAAUGAGGGAUCUAGUAGGGAGUGCUGAGGAGUAGCAGAAGCCAAGAAAAUUCUCUGACUGAGACAUGUUUGCAGGGCCAUCUUGUUUUAAAUCUCUGUUAGACUCUUAGUCUCUUUUUUCUCUUUUGUGUAGUUUAAUGCCAUGGAGAUUCCAGCUCUUUCCCUGCUGGGCUUGGGUUUGGGGACAGACGCCCUGAAUGUUGCAGACUCCGCUUCUCUUUCUGUCUGCAACCUGCCCACCAGAACCUUCUACCCCAUCACCCUGAGGCCCCAUAAGUAUAAGCCCAUCAGGCCUCUGGAUCACAGCCAGUCUUCAGGCUAUCUCUAAGGGUUCUUUCUUUUCUCCUUCCUUAAUUAGAUUCUAGCAUUCAAUAUACCUGCUUUACAUUCAGAGCUCCAGAUGUUUUGGGUGGAUUCUUGGCAAAGAAAGGACAUUUGGGUCUAGAUGAAAGGUGUUAGAAAUAACUGGGCUUGAAAAUCAUUAGGCUGCUGCAUUACUGAAGAUGGAAUGGCUGGAUUCAGAGACAGUGAAAAAGGAGACCUUCAGCGACUUUCUCUUCCUGUUUGGAUCCACAUGGAACCUAGAAGAGGUAAAUUUCAUCCUCCUGGCUCCAAUGUGACUCCUUAGGAGGGAGUCAGGCAUGUUGGGGCAGCAGAUUGUCUAUCUUUUCUAAACAGUGUGACAGAAGUAGGAAGUGCUCAUUUCUUGGCAUCUGCUGGUGGAAGUCAGUUUUACUGCAAUGCAAUGGCAAAUUUCUGUCAACCAUGCAGAGACUUGCUUGGGAAGAGAUGAGCCCCCAGUCACUGGCGAUCUCAGGGCUCAUUUCCCCAGAGCUCCAUGUUGAAGAAUGGAGUUGGGGUUUGCCAGGCUAGUGGCAACCCCUUACAAGCACAUGUCCUUGCUGGGCACAGAGCUAGUGGCAUGUCUGUUGUAUCUUUUCAUCCUUACUUUAUGUUAUAAAUACAGAAGCUGAGGCUCAGAGAAUUUCAAUGACCUGCCCAAAGUCACAUAACCUGUAAAUCAUAGAGUUGGAAUUUGAACCCAGAAUCCCAAAUCCCCUGUUGUUGGUGGCAGUCCUUUGCUGAAAUAAAGGUGGCAAGACCGUCUGUGAAGAUGAUGAUGUGCAUAUACAGGAUAAAGGAUGAAGUACCCUUCAUUGAGGGUCCGACGUGGCUGGGGACCAGUAAGAAGUUCACAGUGGCUGAGGUAAGUCAGGGAAUACAGUUGAAACCAGAUUGACCAGGUUGCAAAUGGCACCGGGGUAACUGUCCUGGGGAAAGAGGCCAGAUUUUUUAAAGACAACUUAAUCAUAUGUUAAGAAAUACGGAGAACAAACACAAAACCGUCCUUCUUGGGUAUUGGAGUAAAGAAGCUAAAAUCUAGACAAUGAAUAAGGAGCCCGUGCUCACUUAACAUCUUCACCACUUAAUCCUUAAAUCCUCCCUCGCCCGCCCACACUCUGCAGCCAGGGCCAAAAGGGCUUUGGCUCCUCUUACACAGAAACUGUAGCUGCUUCUGUGGUGAGCCACAGCUCCCCAGGGCCCAGCCUCUGAUGAGGGUCAGUGACGUCAUCUUCGGCAGGCAUUUCAGACAGAGAAUUCCCCCAAGACCUCGAAAUCAAUAUGUCUCUGGCCCCCUCUGCCUUUCCAGCCAGAAAAUAUGCCCAUUACUUGAGUUUUGUCUGCUGCUUUAAGAUCUUAGCUUGCCACCAAGCUUGACAUGCCUUCUUAUUCUCAUCUCCACCCACUCUCACCCCUUUCAUUGAAACCCAGCUCAAGUAUGGUAAGCUUCAGAGCAUUUUAGCAAUAGAAGAACUCAAAGUUAGAAAAGUUAUUUUCCAUUUGUCCUCUGUGGCUUCUUUGGUUACCAGAGAAGAGGAAUCAGAGACUCUAGAGUACCCUUCCCCCACAUCUUUUUAAGCAGAUACUCUUUUAUCUGUUUUAGAUUUUGAGCUUCUGCAUGUAAUUAUUUUUCAACUGGGACUGAAACAGUUCAAAACUCACCUCCUUAUGGCAUACCUCCACCAAGGUGGUGGAGGUGCUUGGGAAUCCGUCUGAUUGCAUGGUUUCUCUCAGUUUUCCUUUUCUGGGCAAGACUGCAUGAGGCCCAUAUGGCAGGGCAAGUGGGAGCCAUAACAUGGGAUCGUGGAAGGAGCAUGGAUAAUGGUCACUUCACAGCCUCACUUUCAUUACUGAGAAGGUGGGUGGAGGAGAAUUACCAUGCAUCUCAUUAAAUCAAUAUUUUAUUUCCUCCCUGCUCCCAGCUGCCCUCCCAGCUUUGAUCUCUUUGCCUCUAGGGCAGAGCUGGACAGGUGACUUUCACGAUGCAAAUCAGGGUCGGCGGGCUCUCUGCCCAGGCUUUGAUCUCCUACCUAAGAGAAGGCUGGCAGGGAACACCAUGGGCCCCAGCCCCAGGUUCUCUGUAACCUUGGGCAAGGUGGAGCCUAUGAAAGGACUUUUCUUUUGUCUCUGUGAAAAGCAGUAGCCGUUAAACUACCUGAGUUCCAGUAAUGUACACCAUGUGAGGUGUUGGAGGAACUAGACAUGAGAGGGCAUCUUGUUUAACAGAUAUCCAUCUAUUUAUCUUACUCAAAUAUAGGUUAAGUAGCUAAGUAUAGAACAAGGCCCAGGCAUUGAGAAAUAAUAGAUUCUCCACUUGUCAUACUGGAGGCUUCCUUUAUUGACUCUGAUGAAAGUUAUGCAUACUCUCCCUUUCCCCAAUAUUUGUUUUUCCUUUUUUUUUUUUGCAUCUGCUAUUGAUGCCUAGCCAUGGUUCCGGGGUAGAGAGGAAGAAGGACAUGACAUAGCAGAAGUGAGAAUUCUUCCCUAAGCAAAGGACAGGCUGACCAGGAAGGGGAGGUAAAAGCAAUUCUCAGCCAUUGCAUUUCUGGGUCUUACAAGGAGAAAAAGAAAGAUAGAGGGAGGAGAGGCAGGGAGAGACAUAAAUGUCUCCAUCUCUUGAUGACCAAGAAUCUGAUGAGUAAUGCUUGGUGCUGGGGAUCUGAUACUCUCCUGCUGCUUCACAUUUCCAUCUCUCAGAGGAGAUCAUUUUACAGGCUGCCUUUAUCAGUGUGAAUAAAGUUAGGUUCAUAAAUACAAAUUCUUACAUUGUUUUUAUAUUUC